AUUCAAGCUAUAGUGUCUUCUAUCUCCAAGCUGGUGAGACACACUGCAGUCCUCUACAGAACAGAAGAGAGACAGUGCACAGGAUUGCUCUUGGUGUACUCUGGUCCUUGCCUGCCUCUGCAGGCUUCUCUCUUCUCGAACGCACUCUAGUCUAAGCUCCAGACACAAAUUGUCGUUGCCCCGAGUGGACCAUGUUCCCUCUCACCUCCCCACCUUUGCAGAAGCUUUCUUCAAAUCCCCAGAGCUGCCUUUUCUGUGACUAGUCCCCAUUUGUCCUUUAUUCACAGUUUAACCUCUCGAAAACCUGCCUGGAAACCGAAGGGCUAAUGGCCCCUCACUAGGUCUUCCUAUACCAUCAUCCGCUUCCCCAGUUAAAAUUGUACUUAGCGUAUUUGUGAAAUGAAUAACUAGAUGUGCUGUCCAGUUAAUCUAUUUUGAAUGGAUGUGGAUAUUCAGGAGAAUCUGAUGAGAUGGGCUGAUCUGAUUCUCUCUCGGAUGCCCUAUGAUUUGGCACUACUUGUUUAAAACACAAAUUUUUUAAAGUAAAAGAUGAGGAGUUUCCCUUUCCUUAAAGGAAGUAAUCUGUCUCUGCUACCUUGUGCCACAGUUAAACUGCACAGGCUCAAUAACUUAUGUUUUGGUUAAACGUUUUUAAUUUUUUUAGAGUGAAAUCCGAGUUUUUGUUGGCAAGUGAUUGAACACGCUGGGCCCAGCCUCCAGGCCCACAGUCCAUUAGGAAAUUUACGAGGCGAGAUGGGGACCUUCAGCUCAAGUACUCCCUUCAGACGCAGUACUUACAAAGCCAUCAAUUUCCUUAACAAAGAGCAUUGGCUUAAAUGCCCCUUAAAGCAGUGUUAUUUACACAGCUAUCCACUUCCUUUUGAAUUCUCUGCCUGGGGGGUGGCAGACCUGCAGUUCUUUCCAGCUACGAGUUAAUUAGGCUCUCUCCCCAAAUGGAAGCAAGCCGCAGACUGAGAUUUGGUAUUAAAAAGCAGCUCAAUUUGGGGCCAUCCGAGAGUCUUAUGGGGUGAUCCAAAUACCACCAAAAUCACUGGUUCCACCCACCCAUUCUUCUAAAAUUCUAAAGCCUUUGGACCUUACCAAAGAGUAAUGACCUCUGUCAGUAUAGAGAUAGAGAAGGAAAGGCAGCAUUUGAGCCCGUCUCUACUUAGUAAAAGAAGCCUCAAAAAAGUACUGCUGGCUAAGAUAGCAUACUUUCUACCUCUCGGUGUAUCGAUAUAGUAACAUUAACAUUUUAAAGAAGCGCCCACCCCUUUUGUGGGGGAACUAGGAUUUGGAUACAAGCAGCCCAGUUCUGGGGUCUGAGCAUGAAACCACCACCCCAAGCCACCUGACCCAAGAGCAAAGCUCAACUACACUUUCUUGCCUGAAAAAUAAAACUGUCUCUUAAGAAA
rnacentral:lncRNA from 1 species